UACGUAGGGGGCAAGCGUUGUCCGGAAUCAUUGGGCGUAAAGCGCGUGUAGGCGGCCCGAUAAGUCCGCUGUGAAAGUCCAGGGCUCAACCCUGGGAUGCCGGUGGAUACUGUCGGGCUCGAGUCCGGAAGAGGCGAGUGGAAUUCCUGGUGUAGCGGUGAAAUGCGCAGAUAUCAGGAGGAACACCAAUGGCGAAGGCGGUGGUCUGGGCCGGCACUGACGCUGAGGAGCGAAAGCGUGGGGAGCGAACAGG
rnacentral:rRNA from 1 species